CCCCUCCAGAUUCCUGACCCCUCAGCUCUAAAUAUUGAUCUGCGUGGCUAAAAAAGGAGGCAAAGCUAAACUGAAGUGGGCUUGGAGUCUUUAGUGACACACAGUUCAUUGCAAACAUUA
rnacentral:snoRNA from 1 species